AAUAAGUACAGUUUUAUACUAUUCACGUUCAACGUUUGACCGUUCGUCUUAUUUGAAUUUUUUAAGAUUAGUAUUUUUAUUGCUAUUAGAUGAUAAUGUAUGAAUAAUACUUUAUGUGUGACUAAAUAUUUUUAAAUUUUUCAUAAAUUUUUUAAAUAAGACAGACAGUCAAACGUUGGGCACGGAUAUCCACAGAUGCACUUAUU
rfam:Oryza nivara chromosome 7, whole genome shotgun sequence.